UUCCGGUUGAUCCUGCCGGACCCCACUGCUAUCGGGAUAGGACUAAGACAUGCUAGUCACUCAAGCAGUGCGGCACACAGCUCAGUAACACGUGGCUAACCUGCCCUCGAGGCGAAGAUAACCCCGGGAAACUGGGGCUAAUAUUUGAUAGGCGAAGAGCUCUGGAAUGAGCCUUUACCUAAAGGACUUGUCGCUCGAGGAUGGGGCCGCGACCGAUCAGGUUGUUGGUGAGGUAACGGCUCACCAAGCCUUUGACCGGUGCGGGCCGUGGGAGCGGGAGCCCGGAGAUGGGCACUGAGACAAGGGCCCAGGCCCUACGGGGCGCAGCAGUCGCGCAAACUUUGCAAUACACGAAAGUGUGACAGGGCUAUCCCGAGUGCCGUCCGCUGAGGAUGGCUUUUACCCAGUAUAGAAAGCUGGGAGAAUAAGGAGAGGGCAAGUCUGGUGUCAGCCGCCGCGGUAAUACCAGCUCUCCGAGUGGUGUGGAUGUUUAUUGGGCCUAAAGCAUCCGUAGCUGGCCAAGCCAGUCCCCUGUUAAACCCAACGAAUUAAUCGUUGGAUUGCGGGGGAUACUGCUCGGCUAGGGGACGAGAGAGGCCGACGGUAUUCUCGGGGUAGGGGUGAAAUCCUAUAAUCCCGGGAAGACCACCAGUGGCGAAGGCUGUCGGCUAGAACGAGCCCGACGGUGAGGGAUGAAAGCUGGGGGAGCGAACCGGAUUAGAUACCCGGGUAGUCCCAGCUGUAAACGAUGCAGGCUAGGUGUUUGGACGGCCACGCGCCGUUCUAGUGCCGCAGGGAAGCUGUUAAGCCUGCCGCCUGGGGAGUACGAUCGCAAGAUUGAAACUUAAAGGAAUUGGCGGGGGAGCACCACAAGGGGUGAAGCUUGCGGUUUAAUUGGAUUCAACGCCGGA
rnacentral:rRNA from 1 species